ensembl:snoRNA small nucleolar RNA U54
GAGCAAUGAGGAUAAGAAUUUAACCAUGAUAAACCAUGAUGCUUGUAUACGCUAUUCUGAGCUUAGG